GGAUUUGGCAUGCAAGUUCGGGGGAAUCUCCCGCAAGGGAGGGAACCGGCGUAAGGGGCAGUAAGGCAUGGGUACCUACCCCGGGGUUCGGGAUAGCCAUCAGAGAUGGUGGGUAAUACCGGAUGACCUCGUGAGAGCAAAGAUUUAUCGCCCUGGGAGGGGCCCAUGUGAUAUUAGCUAGUUGGUGGGGUAACGGCUCACCAAGGCGAAGAUGUCUAGCGGGUGUGAGAGCACGACCCGCGCCACUCGCACUGAGACACUGGCGAGACACCUACGGGUGGCUGCAGUCGAGGAUCUUCGGCAAUGGGCGCAAGCCUGACCGAGCGACGCCGCGUGCGCGAUGAAGGCCUUCGGGUUGUAAAGCGCUGUCCAGGGGGAGAAAAGCCCGCAAGGGUUUGAUCUAUCCCUGGAGGAAGCACGGGCUAAGUUCGUGCCAGCAGCCGCGGUAAGACGAACCGUGCGAACUUUGUUCGGAAUCACUGGGCUUAAAGGGCGCGUAGGCGGGCUGUCAAGUCUGGGGUGAAAUCCCGCGGCUCAACCGUGGAACUGCCUCAGAUACUGACGGUCUCGAGGGAGGUAGGGGCGAGCGGAACUGAUGGUGGAGCGGUGAAAUGCGUUGAUAUCAUCAGGAACUCCGGUGGCGAAGGCGGCUCGCUGGACCUCUUCUGACGCUGAGGCGCGAAAGCUA
rnacentral:rRNA from 1 species